CUUGGUUAGAAAGAAAUGGAUGCAUCAUCAGAGGAGAGCUUCAUUUCGGCUUUCACUCUCUUAGUCAUUCUAGAAGACUUUCAAGAAGCUGGUCUCUAACUUACAGCUCCAAAGGUGGAAGUUUGUAGAGAACUUCUUUGAUAUUAUUAACCCUCUGUAAUCGGUUCAUGAUCUGAUAGUCUUAUUUAGACACAACCUUCCUACCCCUCUACUUCCUAACUCCUUGAUUUGUAAUAGCUUUUGAUUUUUCAUUAAAAUUUUUAUUUCAUAUUACAAUUAAAAACAAAUUAUUAUAUAAAGGGUUUGAUUGCCUUUACUAGUUAUACAUUAACCAAUUUCAUUAUUUCUGACUUUCUGUAUAUAAUGUGAUUAUCUAUAACAGGGGUGAGUGACCAAAUGGGCUAGAUGGACUCGGCUUUAUAAGACCAUCGUUGAAAUAUCUAGGUCUUUUCGAAGAACUAGUAUACAUGCAUCUAUAAUUAAAAAAAAUUAUUAUAUAAAGGGUUUGAUUGUCUUUACUAGUUAUACAUUAACCAAUUUCAUUAUUUCUGACUUUCUGCAGUAUAAUGUAAUUAUCUAUAAAAGGAGUGAGUGAUCAAGUGAGCUAGA
rnacentral:lncRNA from 1 species